rnacentral:rRNA from 1 species
GAGUUUGAUUAUGGUUCAGGAUGAACGCUGGCGGCGUGCUUAACACAUGCAAGUCGAACGAGGGUUGCUGGUUGAAGUUUUCGGAUGGAAACCGGUAAUUCCUAGUGGCGGACGGGUGAGUAACGCGUGGGGAACCUGCCCCGCUCCGGGGGAUACCAGCUGGAAACGGCUGUUAAUACCGCAUAAGCGCACAGCAUUGCAUGAUGCAGUGUGAAAAACUCCGGUGGAACGGGAUGGCCCCGCGUCUGAUUAGCCAGUUGGCAGGGUAACGGCCUACCAAAGCGACGAUCAGUAGCCGGCCUGAGAGGGCGACCGGCCACAUUGGGACUGAGACACGGCCCAAACUCCUACGGGAGGCAGCAGUGGGAAUAUUGCACAAUGGGGAAACCCUGAUGCAGCCGACGCCGCGUGAGUGAGGAAGUAUUUCGGUAUGUAAAGCUCUAUCAGCAGGGAAGAAGAUGACGGUACCUGCACAAGAAGCCCCGGCUAACUACGUGCCAGCCGCCGC